GGCAAGGGUGGUACGGUGCUGCUGCAAUUGCUCAGCUCUAGACAGAGCCUUCAAGAGGACAGGCAUAGCUGUGCUGUGCAGCCUGAGAGCCUUGUAGCAGGGCAUGCCAGUCAGCAUUGUUGGUAUAGCAUCAGAGGGUGAGCUAAAGGAAUUUUGAGAGGUAAAAUCCACCUGCAGUUCUAGGGAUAAUUUGCUCCUGUGAUUUCUUGCAACCACAAUCACAAGUAGGACUGCAGCUUGCUGUCCCAGUAGGGUUUUGUCCUCAGUCUCUCCACCACACCAUGGGACAUACAACAGCAACCUGCUGGCCGUGCCACUGAAGAGAGAAGAUACUGUGGGGGCCUGCUGUGCUUUGUGUGACUAUGAUUCUAGGGAGACAGCAUCAUAUGAGAGAGCAAGAAAUGAAGGAAAAGGCCAAAUUCUUGCUGGUGCUGCUGCUCCAGGUGCUGAAGGGAGACAAGGCAGAUCUGCAGUGGAUGUCCUCCCCAGCUGUUCUGAGAGCAUAAAAUGCACUGCUCUGGCCUUCAGACCCUGAUGCUGAGACAGCUCUACUACUGCUUCCAGUGGAGACAUCAAGCUGGAAGUGACAAUCCUCUAUUCCAUGAAAGUAAAAAGCAGGAUCUGUCUAGGUAGAGUAUUGAUGAAUGAAGAGUUAAAAACACAUAUUUGUCUGCAUCCAACAUGAAAACUUUGCAAUAUCAGAAUUCAUUUAAUUCUCACUUGCCAUCCCAAGCCACUCUGUCUUCACUUGUCACAAAAAGUUCUCUUUCUUUCCAACACAAAGACAGCUUAAGCUUUAUAUUAUGCCAAAAUACACAAAUCAGAAUGUAACUAUUUAAUGAUACAGCUGCCCAUUCUGACCUCAGGAACUCAGGACAUGAUACUGAGUGAAUCUAAUAAUUCCACACAAUGCUUUUCAUUAAAUUAUACUUUUAUCUUUUCCCUUAUCUGUG